rnacentral:rRNA from 1 species
UACGGGGGGGGCAAGCGUUGUUCGGAAUUACUGGGCGUAAAGGGCUCGUAGGCGGCCAACUAAGUCAGACGUGAAAUCCCUCGCUUAACCGGGGAACUGCGCCUGAUACUGGAUGGCUUGAGUUUGGGAGAGGGAUGCGGAAUUCCAGGUGUAGCGGUGAAAUGCGUAGAUAUCUGGAGGAACACCGGUGGCGAAGGCGGCAUCCUGGACCAACACUGACGCUGAGUGAGCGAAAGCCAGGGGAGCAAACGGG